UCGUCUUCUUCUCAUCUCUCUCACCUUGCGAACUCAACCUUCUCCAACAAUGGCCUUCUACCUCAGCAUCUCUAAAUCGAGAUCUUUCUCUGCUCUCAGUCGUCACCUCCCUUCGCUUAACCUCACUCGCUUCUCACAAUCUCUCAUUCGCUUUCAAGCGCUACCCACGAACUUUCUCACGCUCUCAACAAACUCUCUCAAGCGAAGAUUUCUCCCUGCUCUCAGAAUCACUAUCCCUCAAACUUACCCAAACGUCUCUCAAAUGCACUCAAACGAACCCUUUUUAAUCACUCUCAGCUCUCACAAAAAAAAUCAAACAACAAGCAUAAAGAGAGAGGAAGAGAGGUCCUUACAGAGUGUCACUGCAGUGGUGGUGAAGGAUGCGAAGAAACUGGCCUCCAGGGUUACAAAUUGGUGCCCUUGUGUUCAAAAGUAACUCUGCAAAAGCACUUUGGAUGCUCAGAAAUUGAAUUGCCCUAUCCAUGUUAGAUUCAAGAAAAGUAAAAGAAUGGUGAGCAUGGUUUGCUGCAACCUUGUGGAAUUGGCCUUGCAUUGCCCUGCUGGAUCCCUUCAUUCGGUUCAUCAGGUGGUAAGUGGCUAAGCAUGGUUUUUCUUAUGUGAGGCUCAUGUUGGUUUUGGCCACUGCAGGAUACAGGACCAAUGCAUUUGCUUCCAAAUUCAUGCCUCAAGGAUAACCAUUACAACGGGAUAGCAAGUCCUGUAAAUCCAAUGUGUUCAAUGACUUUGGAGGUGCAAGCUGGCGAGGUGAACUGAUAUUGUAAGUGCAUGGCAUGUCAGUUGCAGUAGGUUGGUUGUCGUUGGCGGCUAGCGUGGGUGGUUGAGUGGAAUCCGGUUCUACCAAGUUUGCUGCAUAAUGCUUCGGGUGCAGAGUUCUUGUGAUAUGCUCCCAUUUCACCCAUGUUCGGUGCUGGAUUUGCUUUUGCAGGGUUGCCUCUUGUUGGAGGAUAUGAAUUCUAGGACGUGUGUAUCGAAAGAUGUUGGUGCAUAUGUCAUGUUAGUUCCUGCAGUAUUUUAAAAUCUGAUGGCACAACGAUUCAAUUAUGUUCUCUUGUCGAAACAACCAUUUCAAGGAUGCCGUGUGAAUUCUUGUAGAAGAUAAAUCUUCUUUGCCAUUACUCAUGAGCUGGAAUAUGAUCUCCUCAUCUUCUUGACUAUAGUAAAUAUGGUAGUUCAUAUUGCCAAGACCCCUCAACAAACGGUAGAGGUCCAACAAUCGUGUCACCGUCAAAUUACCGGUUGUCUCAUCAUGAAAGUCAUUACUAUCGCUCAAAGAACCAACUUAUCAUCUGCAAGUCUUCUAUAGUGAACUGGUAUAUAUCCUUGGUAAAGCAGCAUAUUGACAAGGAUAAAAAAUAUGGAUUGUAUGUGCUCCUUUUCUCCGACAGAGAGAGCAAAUCAACAGGACCUGAAGGCAGAUGAGAAGAAGCCUCUUCAGUAAGUUUCCAUGCAACAGAUUUAUGGAAACUCAUCGGCAGCCUCAUGGGCAACACAGGUAUGCACCUGUCUAUCAAGACAAUAACUUUCUUCAGGAGAGGAACAAACCCUUAGAACAGUUGCAAUGGUGAAUUGGUCCGGCAACAGUCCACUCUGUAAUAAAUCAACAAGCCUCCUUAAAGAAUAUUCCUCUAAACCACUCAUAGCACAGUCAGAGACAAAUUGAUCUCGUUCCAUCCUCAUAACAUCCUCAUAACGGCAACGUGAAUCUGUUCUCCCAGUUCUAGCCGGUUAAAAUAGCAUAAACGUGAAGAGUCUCGGAAGCAGAUGGGGAAACAUAGAGGAGGCACAACUUGAAGAAGUGGAGUUGACAAUGGAUCUUUGAGCAGAUAACAAGGGUUGGCAAAUGAGGGAUUCAGAUCAUUAUUGGAUAUAAUUACGUGACAGAGGAAGCAGUAACAAUAAUAGAUGGUCGUCGGGUUCAUGGAUUAAUUCUUGAAGAAUUCCGUUGUAACCUUUUCAUGCAGGAAGUUAGUUUGCUGCCAGCGUUUGCCGUUAUAAGUGAUUCUCCUACAUUAGCUGUUGCAGAUGUCGGCUAUUGCGUCAUGAGCUACUAUGACUUAUAAUGCAGGGAAUAGUCAAUGCCAUACUUGCUGUUCAUGGUACAUCAUGGCGCUGAAUGAGAAAGCUUGGAACAUGGUGGACGAUCGGGGUUUUAAUGAUGCUUUGGUUAUUUACACUGAAUGUUUUUGGAUUCAGUUGGUUUCUUGUUACCCGUUGUUGCUGACUUGUUGUUACUGGUGCAUUGCAGGAUGCUUUGGUUUGCACUUGUAGGUUUGCCUUGUGACUUGCGUUUCCCGCAUUUCAGCGUGAACUCUACUUUUGGAUAGUAUCUCAAUCUCCGAUUGACGUUAUCUCAUACAUGUCGAGAAGGACAAACAGUUCUCCCGGUGACCUCUUGCUUCGGGUAACAACCUCUCCGAAACUAUGAAGGAUAGCGACGUUGUUGCCGGUGGCUUCAGCAAAGCAAGGAGUUUUUUUUUACAUACUCUUUACCAUCAAAUAUUUGAACACAGGUUUCUUUCUCCCCAUAAUCAGCAAUUUGGUAGGAUUUUUAUGAAAUGAAUCCAGUUUCCAAUCUUAUCCUUCAAACCUUUUAUUCUGUUUUUUGAACAUCCUUUAUACUCAGCCUAACAUGCUCAGACUUAUCUCCAGAACUGCAACACAGGUGUUUGUAUUUAUUAGAAAGAGUUGUGGUUGAUGGCCUGCUUGAACUAUGUGGGGUCUUGUAUCAUUUGGACUUAGCUCACGAUUUGCCAGCAACAUCAUAAGAUUUCUUCCACGACGCAAAACCGCUCAGGAACAACAACAGUUACGACAACAGUGGAACCAACAUUUUCUGGUGUAACAGGUUCCCAACUUCAUUCUUAAACCUCAAAUAAUUUAGUGAAGCUUUAUCUCUGUCAGCGCUUCCUCCCGCAUGACGCCGUAUUGAAACCGAUCAAGCUUAUGAUGGACAAUACUCGUGGCUGUUAUUCCACUUCUCGAAUCCUUGUUGAAAUUGAGAGAGAGAUUCCGACGAAGGCUUAUAGUGGAGUGCAUAAUGGAUAGCUUUGUAAUGGAAGAAACCAAGAAAAAUCAACAACAAACAUGAAGAUUGGGUGAUGUAUUGAAGAAAAAAAGGCCAAGCCAAGUUGGAUGGGCAAGAGCAAGUGAAAGUUGACUUUGGUCAAAGUUGACCAAAAGUCAAUUGUUUACCAAAGUCAACAAAUGGUCAAAAUGUAUUUUCUUUUUGAUUUCUUUGUAAAUGGAUAUUUAAAUGGAAAAUUAUGGGUAGAUUUUGGGUUUAAUGGACUUUGGUCAAAGUUGACCAAAAAAGUCAAUUGUUGACCAAAGUCAACAAUUGGUCAAAAGUGUCAAUUUUUUUAUUUUUCUUGUAUGGAAUCACAUGUACUGGUUUAAAAAUGGAUGAAAUGGAUUGGAAUGGUUUGAAAA